UACAGAGGGUGCGAGCGUUAAUCGGAAUUACUGGGCGUAAAGCGUGCGUAGACGGUAGCGUAAGUCAGAUGUGAAAUCCCCCGGCUCAACCGGGGAACGGCUGGGUAUACUGGCGGUCUUGAGCCAUCCAGGGGCAGUCGGAACAGACGGUGGAGCGGUGAAAUGCGUAGAUAUCGUCUGGAACGCCGAAGGUGAAAACAGACUGCUGGGGAUGCGCUGACGCUGAGACACGAAAGCCAGGGGAGCGAACGGG
rnacentral:rRNA from 1 species